rnacentral:tRNA from 1 species
UAUGAGGUGGUCGAAUUAGUAGUCGGUAGAUUGUAAAUCUAUUUAUAAGUAAAUACUUUCUCAUGG